UACGGGGGGGCUAGCGUUGUUCGGAAUUACUGGGCGUAAAGGCGCGUAGGCGGUCUGCUAAGUUGGAUGUGAAAACUCUGGCUUAACCCAGAGCCUGCAUUCAAUACUGACAGGCUAGAGUUCUGGAGGGAUAGCGGAAUUCCUGGUGUAGCGGUGAAAUGCGUAGAUAUCAGGAGGAACACCGGUGGCGAAGGCGGCUAUCUGGACAGAGUCUGACGCUGAGGCGCGAAAGCUAGGGAGCAAACAGG
rnacentral:rRNA from 1 species